UCAAGCGACUAAGUGUAUGCGGCGGAUGCCUUGGCGAUCAUAGGCGAAGAAGGACGUGUAAGCCUGCGAAAAGCUGCGGGGAGUUGGCAAAAGAACUUUGAUCCGCAGAUAUCCGAAUGGGGAAACCCUCCAAUUUAUUGGAAUUCAUAACUGAAUACAUAGGUUAUGAAGGCGAACGCAGUGAACUGAAACAUCUAAGUAACUGCAGGAAAAGAAAUCAACCGAGAUUGCGGAAGUAGCGGCGAGCGAAACCGCACCAGCCUAGUCAUUGAUAAUUCUGAUCAACAGCAGAACGACCUGGGAAGGUCGGCUACAGAGGGUGACAGCCCCGUAUGCGAAGUUGAUGGAAUGGUACUGAGGUGACGAUAAGUAGGGCGGGACACGUGACAUCCUGUCUGAAGAUGGGGGGACCAUCCUCCAAGGCUAAAUACUCAUGAUCGACCGAUAGCGAACCAGUACUGUGAAGGAAAGGCGAAAAGAACCCCGGGAGGGGAGUGAAAUAGAACCUGAAACUGCAUACAUACAAACAGUAGGAGCCCGCAAGGGUGACUGCGUACCUUUUGCAUAAUGGGUCAGCGACUUACGUUUUGCGGCGAGCUUAACCGAGUAGGGGAGGCGCAGCGAAAGCGAGUUCGAACAGAGCGACAGAGUCGUAAGGCGUAGACCCGAAACCAGAUGAGCUAUCCAUGGUCAGGUUGAAGGUGUGGUAACACACACUGGAGGACCGAACCGACCGGUGUUGCAAAACCGGCGGAUGAACUGUGGAUAGGGGUGAAAGGCUUAACAAAUCUGGAGAUAGCUGGUUCUCCCCGAAAACUAUUGAGGUAGUGCCUCGUGAAUGACUGCCGGGGGUAGAGCACUGUUAUGGCUAGGGGGACAUGGCGUCUUACCAAACCAUGGCAAACUCCGAAUACUGGCAAGUUGAAUCACGGGAGACAGAGCACCGGGUGCUAACGUCCGGACUCAAAAGGGAAACAACCCAGACCGCCGUUUAAGGUCCCUAAUAACAGCUAAGUGGAAAACGAAGUGUGAAGGCUAAGACAGUCAGGAAGUUGGCUUAGAAGCAGCCAUCCUUCAAAGAAAGCGUAAUAGCUCACUGAUCGAGUCCUCAUGCGCGGAAGAUGUAACGGGGCUAAGCUGUUAACCGAAAGCGCGGAUUUCCAAGCAAUUGGAAGUGGUAGGGGAGCGUUCUGUAAGCCGACGAAGGUGAUUCGUAAGGAUUGCUGGAGGUAUCAGAAGUGCGAAUGCUGACAUGAGUAACGAUAAAGCGGGUGAAAAGCCCGCUCGCCGUAAGCCCAAGGUUUCCUGCUCUACGUUCAUCGGAGCAGGGUGAGUCGGCCCCUAAGGCCAGGCUGAGAAGCGUAGUCGAUGGGAAGCUGAUUAAUAUUUCAGCACCACUGUUGAGUGCGAAGGGGGGACGGAGUUUUGCAAGUAAUCCGGGUGUUGGAUGUCCCGGUUGGCGAGCGUAGGAGGUGAGCAGGCAAAUCCGCUCACGAAUCUCCGAGACGAAGCCUCGAGGUCCUUUAGGACUGAAGUUACCGAAUGAACUUCCAGGAAAAGCCUCUAAGCUCCAGCUCAACGGUGACCGUACCGUAAACCGACACAGGUGGGCGAGUUGAAUAUACUCAGGCGCUUGAGAGAACUCGGGAGAAGGAACUCGGCAAAUUGACACCGUAACUUCGGGAUAAGGUGUGCCUUGGUAGCGUGAAAGGAGAAACUCCCCAAGCGCGAAGAGGUCACAGAAAAUAGGGGGCUGCGACUGUUUACUAAAAACACAGCACUCUGCAAAGACGAAAGUCGACGUAUAGGGUGUGAUGCCUGCCCGGUGCCGGAAGAUUAAGUGAUGGGGUGAGAGCUCCUGAUCGAAGUCCCGGUAAACGGCGGCCGUAACUAUAACGGUCCUAAGGUAGCGAAAUUCCUUGUC
rnacentral:rRNA from 1 species